UGCAGUCGAGCGCGAAUAGGGGCAACCCUUAGUAGAGCGGCGCACGGGUGCGUAACACGUGGAUAAUCUGCCUGGAUGCUCGGGAUAACCAGUCGAAAGAUUGGCUAAUACCGGAUAAGCCCACGGUUUCUUCGGAGACUGAGGGAAAAGGUGGCCUCUGUAUACAAGCUAUCACAACCAGAUGAGUCCGCGGCCCAUCAGCUAGUUGGCGGGGUAAUGGCCCACCAAGGCAACGACGGGUAGCUGGUCUGAGAGGACGAUCAGCCACACUGGAACUGAGACACGGUCCAGACUCCUACGGGAGGCAGCAGUGGGGAAUUUUGCGCAAUGGGCGAAAGCCUGACGCAGCAACGCCGCGUGUGUGAUGAAGGUCUUCGGAUUGUAAAGCACUUUCGACCGGGACGAAAACCCGUAGCCCAACACGCUACGGCUUGACGGUACCGGGAGAAGAAGCACCGGCUAACUCUGUGCCAGCAGCCGCGGUAAUACAGAGGGUGCAAGCGUUGUUCGGAAUUAUUGGGCGUAAAGCGCGUGUAGGCGGCGUGACAAGUCGGGUGUGAAAGCCCUCAGCUCAACUGAGGAAGUGCGCCCGAAACUGUCGUGCUUGAGUGCCGGAGAGGGUGGCGGAAUUC
rnacentral:rRNA from 1 species